GUGACUAGCAAGUUAAGAAUACAGUUUCCUUGAUCGGAGGAGGAAGUCACUCUUUCUAAAAAAGGGCAAAGGUAUAUUCAUCUAGUUCUAGUUCUUGUUUUUUUUCGAAUGGUUGACGGCCUACACACUUCCUCUGUGCAGCGCCACAGCAGAAGCCUGGGUGGUGCAGUAGAUACAGGAACCACUUUUUCUCUGUGCCUCUCAGUCGAACAUGAUAUAUUGGGUAUAGGGAGCAGGAUACAGCGCUCUUUAAAAAAUGAGUUUCAGCAAUGUCCCCAGCAGAUCCGAAGUCAUGCACUGGAAUGCUGCUAAGCUGUCAGACUACCUAAAAUCGCUCAAUAUAAAGGACUGCGAUAAGGUUGUCAAAAAACAUAACAUUAAUGGAUCUCGUUUUUUGGAAAUGUCAGACAAUGACAUGCAGAAGUUCCCAAAGUUACAUGCACCG